UCAAAGGGUCACUUUAAUCAAAAUAACCAUUUUCGUCUUUCACGACCGACCCAGUAGCCAAGCUUCAGUCUCAUGGCUUCUACUCCGAGCACGAACCAGACCAUCCAUGGCGAUGACAAUACCGACGUCUCCUACUUUCAGAAAACAGUAUGUUUGAACGAUUGGUGGCUGAUUAAAGCCGAGAAUGAGGUCCAAGGAAAGUGGCUAGCCGUCGCCGGUGUAUCUUCUAGAAAGGAAGGUGCCAGGCGAGUGUUCUCCUCUGCACCAAUAGCCAAAAGAUUCGAUGUUUUCACUCUCGAGACGGUGGAUGGCAUAUGUGUAGCCAUCAAAGGGUUCAUAAACAAGCAGAAGACUACUGAAAAUGGGUUUCCAUCUGAGGUUUUCAGUCAUUUUCUGUUUGGCUUUCCUCCUUACUGGGAACAAUGGGUUGCAAAGUUCUUUGGUGGAGACUCUACCACUACUUGUGCGGUUUCUGGAAGUAUUUCUGAUUCAGACAAGUUAGCUACUCAGCCAGGAAGCAUAAAAAGUUCUAUUCCAUCUUCCUUGCAUUUUGAUCAAGAAGAAACUCCAGUUGAGCGGGUCUCUUGUGAAGAUAGGCAUGAUGUUGAAGUCCCAAAACAGUUUUCUUCUGAGCUGCCUACGAAUGUCGCUGUUGAUGACUUCCCUAAACAUGCUGCUGAGGAGGAAACAGGCAGAGCAAAUAUUGGAGCAAGUGAUUUUCAGUGUAUUGGUAAACCAAUGCAUCUGGUAAGCAAUCAGAAGAAACCGGUAUCCAGAUGCUUUAUGAAGCAUAAAAGUACAAAUUCUAGUCCUGCAUCAGAGGCCUCUGAGAGCCUUGGUGGAGUAUCAGGUGCAACUACUCAGUCUGGGGGGAAAGUGGACAUAUCAGAGGAAUAUGCAAGCUAUUCUGCAGGCAGAGUGACCAGAAGUUUGUCAAGAAAUUUAAGUAGAAAAGGGAAAAAGAAGAAAAUGGUGGGAUGUGGUUUGAACUCUGAGAAAAAUACAGUGGAUUCUGUUCCAGCGGUGUUCAAAACUUUGAGCAAAAGUUUACAAAAUGAUAAUUCUAAAGUAGGAGGGAAAAGUAUGUCCCAUCCUUCAGAUUUUGAGUUUCAAGAACCAAAUGAUUUGAAAGUAAAAAAAAAACUUGAUUUUGGGUGUCUAGAAGAUGAUUUGCAGCAUACUCACAAUGCAAAACAGGGACAGAAUUGUGGAAAUAUUACAACUCAAGUUGGAGGAGAAAGUGAUGCUAAAGAAGAAAACACAUUCAGGAAAAGAACUAAGACAAACACUACCUUUUAUACAAAGGAAAAUCCCACUCUGGAGGUGAACAAGAAAGUGUCUAUUGCUUCUCCUGAAUCUUUGAAUAUGAGACGGUCCAGAAGCGGGAGACUACUUCUACCGACCAUGGAAUUCUGGCGCAAUCAAUUGGCAAUCUAUGACUCGGAUCGUAAGGUUACUGGAAUUCAGGGAGGCCUACCUAUAGUAACAACAUCAAGAGGCAUUAGCUCUGGGUCUCAGAAACGCAACAGACGAUAGAGGUUGAGUUUCUGGCUGAGCUUUAGACUCGUUUCAUACCUCCUGUAAGUAUGGUAUCUAAUACUUGCACACAGGUAACAGCUUGGAAAUAAAGUGAAGAAGCAUAUGGCAAUAAUUUUGUACAGAUUCUACCGCAGAUGAGAGAAAGAGGAUGAGAACUCAUGUCAAGCUGACCUCUACUCAAUUAUAACAAAAUUUUCAAGCUGCAGGAGUACGUAUAGAAGACAUAGAGCUUGGGCUCUUCCCGUCAGAAUCUGCGAUGUGUCUAUUUUUGUUCAUGCUAAUCCUUUUAGCUUAUCCAAGUUCGAAUGUAGCAUUGAAUCCAACUUUACUCUUUGGAGCAUCUAGGUGGUAGUUUUUGCAUAUUUCGGAUGUGUUAUUUUGCUUUUGGUGAUACUGGCUCAACCAUGUUAGGCCAUUUCCAAUCAUAGAGCUAAAUGUAGUUCAUGCUAUAAUUUUAGCCCUCUAAAAUAUUAAUUAAUUUUUCCUUUUGUUUUUUU